rnacentral:lncRNA from 1 species
CGAAGUCCAGCGGGCAGCCACCGUGUCCACGUCUGGGAGUGUGCCGGGACCUUCCUACCUCCUCUCGGUGUGAACAUUGCGGUGGACAGCACAGACGACCGGAGACAGACAGGGCUCCUCUUGGAAGGGCUGCCAACACCAAGUCUCAACUGGAUUCAGGAGGUCAAGUCCCAGGAUGCCCGGGAGGGAAGGGAAAGGAUCUGCUCAGCCACAGGUGCGAUGUCUCCCUUUCUCCAAACUGGGGGUGGGAGGGAGGGGGUGCGGGUGGUGGCGGUGGCUGGGAAAGCCGUUCUGGAGCUAGCGCUGGGCUCUCCUGCCAGCUGGAGUAAGAGGGUUGCAUGUGAGCUAAGCCCCGCGCUGCCGCUGGGUCUCUGGUGCCUUUCGCCCAGACUCUAGGUGUAGCCGACCUGUUGCCUGCGGGAAAGCGUCCCACAAGAUCUGAGAGCCAGGAGUCCGUGCUGAAGUCAGCCGCGAUCUUACGGGCGAGCAUCCCCAGAGUCCAGCGCCCACGGGAGGAAGACGUACACGGUGCCGGGAAAAGCAGCGGGUAACCAUCCCAGGACAACCAACCCCUUUUCUUACCCUUUGUGUCAUUAGUUGGUGGCCCAACGAACCCGGGGAAAGGGAGUGUGAGGGCUGGGGAAGUAGCUGAUGAAAAGGCGCAAACAGGGCAGAUAAAUCCCAGUCUUGCAUCUCCACUCACUGGGAUCCUGAAUGGAGCUCGGGAUCCAGCAGUAUUGGAGGUCCGUACAGCUUCAGCACCACUCAUUAGGCACCUUCAGAAGCUGGACAGCACCGGGGCCGCAGAGUACCAGAGGUCGGUUCCUGGGCUCUUCCCAAGACGCCAGGCCCAUGUCCACAAUUCCAGACUCCAUUCAACCGAGGCCAAGAGGGGAGCCCGCUGAAGACCCUCCUCACCUUGGACACACAUUCUGACGACAGCCUGGAGGAUGCCUGAACGCUCUGCACCUCAGAGUGGUCCCGGGUUUGGUGACACAGUCCCUUGCGUCCUCCGCAAAGAAGCCCAGUCAGGCCGCCGCAGAGCUGUGCUCCAGCCCAGGCUAUGGGCUCUGAAGGGGUUGGAAUGAGAAGUUUCUCCCAGCAUCCCCACCUCAUCUGUCUCUGAGGGUCUCCAUGUCCAGGCAAGCCCUUCCCCAGUCUAGAUGAACAGAAUGAAUCAAAGGAUGGGGGAGGGGUAGAGCAAAGAGGAAGAGCUGGCAAUUAAAAAGCAAAAGAAUUAAAAGCA